CCCAAAACACAUGUAUAAAGUGCUAAACAUUAAUUUAGCUAGUUGUGCAAUAUAUUUUCUAGAUACAAUAAUCUUAAAUGUGUGCAUGUUUUUGUUGUUGUUGACAAAACAACAUCUGAUUCAAAGGGAGUGUGCCAGAUUUUAAAACACAGAGCACCCGUGUAUCCUCGGCUGAAGAAGGCAAUUGAGGAGAGCAGAAAGUUCUCCUUUUAACGAAUUUGCACCCCUACAUACUGUAUGAAGAACACUUAUCGGUUUCCGGGUCACGGACAGAGUAGAGGAGGACAAAAGAGUCGAGGAGAGGACAUACAUUUUAUAAUUGAGAAUCUCCCACUGUCAUGGAUCGAUUCGCAUCAUAGGUAGGCCUACUGUACUUGCUGGCCGGCCAGCAUUUUUUGUUAUUACAUGAUGACCACUUCUAUGAAGUCAACCAGACAUGCAACAAGAAUCUGGGUUAGACUCGCAGUGUCUUGUAAAUCAUUUCUCUCGACAGGUAAGUAGCUACUACAACUAGCAAGUAAGUAGAUGUCGUUUUCAAAUAGCUAGUUACAUCCAAAUACUACUAUAAAGAUUACAGCGAAGCCUGCUUCCAGGCUAAACCUUGAAUGGUCGCUAGCUAACUAGCAUCAUUAGUUUUAAUUUGUCUGAUGGAAUGUUUUGAAUAAUCCCAGCAUAGUUGACUGUUAUUUAGUUUCAAUCACUCAAGGUGAGAUGGCUAGCUAGCAAAUGGAGAAGGGGUGCAAUUAGGUCUUUCUAUAAACUAGGGUAGGCCAAUCAGUGAGGAUUUCCUACACUGGACAAUUUGUUACAGCUGUUAAAUCAUCGACAAUAAUUAGCAUAUUUCCACAUGUCAUUGCAUUAAGGAGGCAUAGCUACUGUACAUUCAAUCAAAUUCACGAGUUUGUCCAAAAUCAUGUGACAUAAAACAUUACUUUUCGGUUUUGCAUUUAUGGCAGUGUACAUUGUCAUUAUCAUAUAUUAAGCAUUAAUCAGUUAAACUUGACAUUGAACAUAUAAGAAUCCUGGAUUGAGUUGUUGGACAUUUCGUGUUUUAUGUUAUGCUGGGUGAGUUUUCAUGGACACACAAAUCCAAAAUAAUAUAUGCGAUUGCGAAAUCAAAUGCCUCUAACCAAGAGUCACCUUAACUUGAUACUUAUAACCAUAUCCCUUGCGAUUUGAGGUUGAUUAUUUGUUGUCUAUUUGAUUUACAGUACUUAGCUUUAACAAAGAAAGCAUUGAGGUAAUGUGUUCGGAUUGGACACGGAGUCAACUGUGCUCAAGUGUGUAACUCGACUGGGAUAGACUAUUGUUCAACACCCAACUCUAUUCCUAUUAAUUAUUCUGUAUAUAAUGACACAUUCUAUAGCUUAUUUGGCUUAUUCACAAUAUGAUCUGGUCAUGAAAUAACAUGACAAAUACAUUUUAUUUUCCAUGUUACACCUGCCAUUUAAAUAAUACAGGGGGCUUGAAGCAGCCUAGCUCAGAAAUUAAAGUAUUGGUAUAGGCCUACCUUGAAAAUAAGACAUUUCCUCAAUUUGGUGUUUGAAAAGUCCUUAUAAUUAUUGUUGCCAAUUUAGAAGUUAUCAUGCUCCCUUAUAUCCGGGGCGGCAGGGUAGCCUAGUUGUUAGAGUGUUGGACUAGUAACCGAAAGGUUGCAAGUUCGAAUCCCCAAGCUGACAAGGUACAAAUCUGUCAUUCUGCCUCUGAACAGGCAGUUAACCCACUGUUCCUAGGCCAUCAUUGAAAAUAAGAAUUUGUUCUUAACUGACUUGCCUAGUAAAAUAAAGGUAAAAUAAAAAUGUUGUUUUAUGUCCCUUCAAUUGUGCGGUUAUUAUGAGGACGACAUCAGUUUGGCUUUCCACACAAAUCCUUCCAUCUAAAAAUGAACCUGUUUUUUGGUCACUUUCUCAAUAUAAAAACAGCGAUGGUCAGAUUAAUGCUAUUGCCGCUAUUCAUGACUUUAUUACAGUACGUAUGCCUGUAUUGGCCUCUUAGGCUACAGAAAAAUCACUAUGGGGGCUAUUUAGUCAGGCAACGUCCACAUUAUUCUCACAUAUUUUAGAAUAUAAUAGUUUGGAUAUCAAUGCAUUGGCAAGGCCUAAAAAAAUGCAGUAUUCUUAAUGGUAAUGUCCUACUUUUGGGAAGGAAGGUGGAGUUCUACAUUAGGCCCUAUCUGUACAAUUAGAAACUGGGUGGUUCGAGCCCUGAAUGCUGAUUGGAUGACAGCCAUGGUAUAUCAGACCGUACACCACUGUAUGACUGUCACACCCUGAUUGGUUUUACUUGUCUUUGUGCUUGUCUCCACCCUCCUCCAGGUGUCAUCCAUCUUCCCAAUUAUCCCCUGAGCCUUUAUACCUGUGUUCUCUGUUUGUCUGUGUGUUGCCCGUUUGUCUUGUCUUACCAGUGUGCUUUCCCAUUUCUCAAGUGUUUGUUUCCUAGCUUUCCUGGUUCUGACCAUUCUGCCUGCCCUGACCCAGAGCCUGUCUGCCAUCCUGUACCUGCCUGACUCUGACCUGAUUACAAACCUUUGCCUGUCCUCGACCUGCCCUUUUCCCCGUGUUAUAACAAGUUAUUGAUAACUGUACUAUCUGCCUCCUGUGUCUGCAACUAGGUCAUAUCCUGAGUCCUGAUGAUGACAAAACAUUGUUUUACUGCUCUAAUUACGUUGGUAACCAGUUUAUAAUAGCAAUAAGGCACCUCUGGGGUUUGUGAUAUAUGGCAAAUAUACCACGACUAAGGGCUGUGUCCAGGCACUCCGCGUUGCACCUAAGAACAGCCCUUAGCCGUCGUAUAUUGGCCAUAUACCACACCUCCACCUGCCUUAUUGCUUAAUUAUGUCAUUUAUACAACUGUAUAACAGAGGUCCUUAAAUUAAAGUAAAUUUAAGUGCUUGAGAAAGUCCCUGAAAGUCCUUGAAUUUGACUUGCCAUCUCUGUGCAUUCAAAUUUCCAUAGCUAAAUUGCAAUUGUGUUCGUUGUCUGUAGUUUAUGCCUGCAAAUACCAUAACCCCACCUGUUGAAUUCAGAGCAUGUAACAAAUAAAAUGUUAUUUGAUCAUGGGACACUGUUCACAUCAGCAAACCCCUCGCCCACUGUCUGCCAUCUCCCCAGUACAGUUGAAACUGGGAUUCAUCUGUGAAGAGCACACUUCUCCAGCGUGCCAUUGAAGGGAUUUGUGAAGAGACAGGCUAUUUUUGCAUGCAACACACUCUGCCUUACCUGCACCAACCAUUGCCAUGGCGGAUGUCUUUGAGCUUUACACAAAAAGGAAUUUCCACUGUGCCUGGCAAGUUUAAGUGCCAGCUGAAGUCUCCUAUUUUCCCAUCUACCCCUCAGUCGUGUCUUCCUGACAGCUGAACAUUGAUGACUGAUUUCCUCUGUCCUUUUUGUUUUUGCAGGGCAAAGACCGACAAAACAUUAAAAACCAAUACAAUCACAACUUCCAUGGCUGUUACUGUACCUGUGACAGACCUUACCCAGACACUGAUGAUCAUGUGUGGGUUUCAUUCCAGCAUUACGCACCAUUCACUUUCUCCAUCACUAUUGAUGAAUGAAUGUUUUAUUUCUGUCUGUAUCAUACACUUUGUUGAUAUGCUAGAUCUCUAGGAUUCUGUUAGUGUGUUGUUGAAAGAAUGAUGGCUAUGUCAUUCUAAAUCACAAAACACUGUCAUGGUCUUAUAUUUCCGAUAACGUUAAUGAGGAUAUGAUUCCGUGUAUGAUUCCGUGUAUCACCUCUGAGGACUGGUAUCAUCCCAGGGUAUGUAUCGGGCCAACAUCAUGAUUGUUGUCAGUUCUCUUUCUAAACUAUGUUAGCAGGGAUAAUGGUUUUGGUACAAAGACCGGAAUGAUUACUCCUCCUUGACCAUGUUGACUUCUCUGUGACAGCACUUGGGUUGUAUGGUGGAAAAGACUGAGGAGAUGGAGUGUGAGACCUGUAUUAGCAAAGCCCCCUUCCUUUGGACCUACUUCGCCCACUCAGCAAGUGUGUUAUUAUUCCUCCCACUGGCAGAGAGCGCUAGGGAUCCAGAGCUCUGGGCUUGGGUUACAAAAAACACCAACCAUAAAUGAGUACCGCUUUUUAAAUCUAUUGCCCCUAGCUAACUAAAGAUUGGAGAUAACGGUCCUGUUCAUUCAUUCAUUAAUUCGUUGAGAGAAUGCCAAAAGUGUGCAAAACUAUCAAGGGAAAGGGUGGCUACUUUGUUUAACACUUUUUUGGUUGCUACAUGAUUACAUAUUUGUUAUUUCAUAGUGUUGAUGUCUUCACUAUUACUCUACAAUGUAGAAAAUAGUACAAAUAAAGAAAAACCCUUGAAUGAG